UGUUUCAGAAUAUAUAUCAGAUAGUACAUAUGAGAGACAAAAGACUGAGACUACAAUAAUGUAGGAAGAUUAAAAAAAAAAAAACAAAGCUGAAAUAAUUCUUCCCCAUAAAUAAAAUCAGUCAAAACAGUUAUCUAGAUUAUGAAGAGAACAUGUUAGGUGCAUUUAAAUUAGUGUAAUGAAAUUUAUAAUGGAAUAGUAAGAAGAAGAAAAAAAAGAUCCUACUAGCAGAGGAUAUAAUUUUGGUUGAAUCCCGUAACAAACUGUCUGUAGGAAAACAAUACUAACAGGGAUACAACUGAGAGUAGGAUGGAUAAGCACACAAGACCAGAAAUGCUUGAAUUAAGAAGAAUGGAACAUCGUUAGAUAAUAAUGGGAGCAUAUUUGAGGAAACUCCAUCAGAGCUUUCUGAAGACUGAGAUUCUCAGCAUUUUCUAACAUCAGUCAGCCCAAGAGGAGUUGCAUCUCAUGGCAUUCAGGACCAAAUACCCUAUGGUAUGUUUGGCUCACCUUUGCAGUGCUUGAGCAAUUACUCCAACAUCUAGGACACACCUGUUGCACAAGCAGUUCACAGCCAGGUUGUGGACAUGGUAUGGAUCUAGUGAGCCAUCCCUGCUGCUGACUAGUGUCAAGAAGAGCAAUAAACCUGGAGAUGAAAUGGCAAUAAGGAUUUCUGGGAUUUUGUUGUGAAAGCAGACAUUGCCAAUGUCUUUAAAAGGGUUUAAGGUAAUCUGUUGCGUAAGUUAAUUUCUCAUUGUUUUUUGAGUAGGACUAAAGACCCCACUGCAAAACAGAACUGUCUCAUGGUGUAUGUAUUUCAUAUUCUACAACUGUUGCACCACGGUCAUCCUCCUCACUGUAUCACCAUGAGUUUCCUUUUCAGGUGUGGUAUAUUGCUGCCUCACAUCAUGACUUUCCUUGGGCACUUCCUUUCGUGGAAGAUAUUGCACAGAUUCAAGCUGUUGGCUUCUCUAGGGAUUUCUGCUAGGACAGACACAGAAAAAGACACUUCUCCAGCUUAGCAUAACCCCUGAGCUUCCCUUUGUACCUCCAGACAACCCAUAUUUUCUAUUCUACCUUCCAACCCUACUGUGACACAGCAAGACUCUUGGAUUUUUCCUCUGAUUACAUACAAGCUUUGCAAUAGAACCGCUGUAUUGCAGGCUGGGAUUUCAUGUAUUGUAAUCAAGUAUGAUCAAUUCACUGCAGGUGCCAUGGCAGGCAGAGGACAUUCAGUCCCUGGUUUCUAAGUGCUCCAAACCUAACCUUUAAAUGUUGCUACCAAGAGGGGUGAUUGGCAGUGCCUUCUGUACUGCAAGGAGAUAAUUGUGGUGCAAUGGUAUAAUCAAGUGAGACUCAUUCUGUAUUUUUGCUAUCGUGGAAAAAAAUUCUGAUAUGAGCCAUAUGGGGUAAAAGACUAGGGUUACAACAAUACAAUUACAGGGUUGUUUUAUCCAAGCACAGGUUUGACUGAGACAAGAAGUGAACUUUUCUACAAUAUAUGUAUGUAGGCAAAGAAUCUGAAAGACUGUGGACUCUAUUUCUAACUCAACUUCCUGUGGCCACUGAAGAACAGAAGAAUUUUCAAUGAGGAAUUAAUGUUAUGAAGAGGUUUAAUAUCAUAUAGCUCAUGGCACACGAAAGAUCCUUAGCUCUUAGCUCAUGAUAAUCCGGAUAGAAUUUAACCUUCAAAACUUAAAAGAGAGAAACCUUACUUCAUCCCAAUGUAUCUCUGGAGGAAGAUCUUGCCAAACUUCCCCAUGGCAUUACUGGACAGUGGAUCAGGCUCUCACACAGAUGAGAAGCAGCUGAGUCAGAAUGACAGAAUGGAUCAGGUUGGAAGAGAGCACAUUGGGUCAUCUGGUCCAAGCUCCCUGCUCAAGCAGUCAUCAUAGAGCACAUGGCACAGGAUUACAUCCAGACACUUCUGGAGUAUCUCCAGUGAGGGAGACUCCACAAUUUCUCUGGACAUUCUGUUCCAGUGCGUGAUCUUUGCACAGUAAAGAUGUUCUUCCUCAUGUUCAGGUGGAAUUUCCCAGCAUCAGUUUCUGCCCGCUGCUUCUUGUCCUACUGCCUGGCACCACCAAGAAGAGCCUGGCUCUGUCUUCUUGGCACCCUCCCUCCACUUACUUAUAGACAUUGAUGAGUCCCCUCUCAGCCAACUCGAGCCUGAACAGCUCCCUCAGCCUUUCCUCAUGAGAGAGAUACCCCAGUACUUUAAUAAUCUGAUAUCCUCUGCUCACUCACCAGCAAGUCAAUUACAGUACUGAGCAUGCUUGCUGACCUCUCCUAACCUCAAGUCCUUAAUGACUUUUAGUGGGGCCACGAUACUAUUCCAUGGAAAACACAGUCUAUCCUAACACAAAAGGAAAACAUGUAAAUACAAUUUUUAGACAAACUGUAUUUUCUCUAAUCUAUUUCGUUCUCAAAGGAAUUAAUCUAGAGUUACCCCAUGUAAGUCCCUGAAGUAGUGCCCUGAAAAUCAUGCUUUUGUUGGAUUUCAAGGCAGUAUGUUCAAAAAACAAAUGGAAUUGUUUGACAAGCUAUGAGGCAGGACAUUUUUGAAUGUUUACCUGACUUAGAUUACAAUAGAUUGUAUGAUAUUACUGAGAGCAAUACUCUUCCUUUUUUGCUGGUUGUAAGAAUGGAACCAAUCUCUCACUGACUUAACAUUCAAAGGUAUGCCUUGUAUAAAUAUGUUGUCAAAGUCUGGAAGGAUUAAGGUCUUGAGACAUUUUGGGAUACUUGUGGGAGAGUGCUGAGGUCAUACCUUGCCCUGCAAAGCCAGCGAACUGCCCCACACCCCUCUAGAGCCAGUAUGCCAGCCUGGCAGUGCUGCCAAUCAUUGGCAAAUCUCAGGAAAUGCCCCACACUCCCUCUCUGGAGUUCCUUAUGCAGCUCCUGAGUGGCCAAAUGACUGGAAGUCCCACCUGGGAGGAGGGCCCAUGGAGGCUUAGGGGUAUUUAGGGUUGAGCAGCAGUCAGCAUCCCUCUUAACCCAAUCUCCUCUUGGAAUUCUUGGCUGGGUAGUGCUGGAACCCAGGAGCUGGAGUUUGCUGCAUUUAAUCAAGACAUCAGUGCUGCUGUGUAGCCUGGAGAAACGAUGAUGUAAGAGGGAACUAAUCCCACUGUGAAGGUUGUUGGAAGAUGGAGCCAGAUUCUUCACAGCAGGGCACAGCAGAAUGAAAAAGAGUCAACAGAGAUUGAAACACAGCUCCAUCCCUCGAGGUUUUCAUGGAUAAGAUGGACAAAGUCCUGAGAAAACUGGUCUGAAUUCAAUGGCCCUCUUUUUAGCAGGACUAGAGACUACCUUCCAAUCAGAAUUAUUCAAUCUUGCUAUGAUUCUGAUGACAUUUUAAAUUCACUUUCUGUACAAAGGCACCUGAAGACAUUGCCUCGCCAUAAGAUAUCAGUUGAGUGAAAGAUCAAAGAAAAUUUACCUUUAAUUGAUUCUGCUUUAGUAUAGUUUUGAGUCUGAGACACUUCAGUCAGUUCCUGUGAAAUGCAAUGUCCUGUGUAAAAAAAGGGUAUUGUUCCUCACUAACUUUUGGUAACUGUUACUAACUUGAAAAAUUGCACUGAAUAGAAAUGGUCCCUAGGGUCCCUCAUGCUGUUGUUAGACUUCCAUGGUUCCUUGGGCCAUCAGACCUAUAAGCUUUAAAGCCUGCUAUAACUUUAUAUAAGUGUGAAGGAAACAAAUAGUGAACAUUUCAAUUCCCUAAGAUCUCUAGAUGGUCAUACAUUCACUUGAAGAAUAGAAAUGUUUUAUACUGAUGGUCAUUGGAUGCAUUUAGACCUCACCUGGCUUUGGGUGAUUUCUUUAAAAAUAUCACAUUACUGGGAGAACUUGCCUUCAAUGAAGUUUUUGUAUUAUGGGGAAAAGUUAUUUACAACCUUGGUGGGUUCCCCUUUGAAGUCAUUUGUCUUGUUGAGAGGGGAAGUGGAGCUGGCCUUUGAAGAGUCUCAUUUCAUCUUGGAUCUCUCCCUUUGAAGUACACUUUACCCUGAAGGCAUUCCCUGUGGAAAAUCUCUCAUUGUUCAUGGGUCUCCUAAGAAAAUAUUCCCUAGAGGCACACUUCCCUGAAGAAUAAUUUACCUUGGAGAUAGAAGUAGUGAUGUAUUUUUCAUCCUUGCCAACAGCAGGCAGGGUCUAGUUACACCAGCUGCACAAAUGAUUACAUAAAGAAAAUAUAGGGGAUUGCUAAUUUAAUGUGUAAGGGGCAGUUGCCUAACAGAGUGUCCAAAUCUUGAUAAACUGAGCUUCAUUAAUGCUACUGAAAAAAAAAAUUAGUAACAAUACUUGGCCUUCAGGGAGACCUUAUUUUUUUUGAGUCUUUGAUGCUGAAAUCUUCUCAUUCUUAUGCUUCAUGAGAAAGAAUUCUCUGAAAGCCUGAAGAAAAUCCUGUCAGCCAUUUGCAGGCCUGAUGCAUGUUGUUUGAUAGUGUUCAAAGAUAACCAUUCUGAGUGUGAUAAAAUCAAAGAAGAUAAAGUAUUUUUUCUCUUUAAAGAAUUUUCACCUUUUUUUUUUUGUUAUAGAACUUCAACAAAUGGGAAAGAAAACCUUUCUUUACGGCUCAGUGCUCAUUGAGGUCUAGUACCUCAGUGAGGUUGCAAACUACAAAUUAGGAACAUAAACACAAACAAACAGCCACACCUAUGGUCCAUAAAAGCUUUUCAACCAUUAAAGCAGCGUUACUUUCUGCUGUAUCCUACCAUUGCCUAAUUUCAAAGGCAUAAUAAAGGGUAAUUGCUAUGCAGACAGGAUCAGCUCUAGGCAUAACCAAAACAAGCAACUAACUUGGACAGCAAAUUUUAAGAAAGGAAAUCCAGCUAUGGCUCUGCUAUUUCUUUUGUUUAUACCACAGCCUCAGAAAACCAGACACACUGCUGCAGCUGCCUCAAGGUUCAUGGUACACAGGUGAGGGGGGCAGGUGGGAGCUCUCCCAGAGGCACAAAUCAUUGCCCCAAGACAUCUGAUCCCCUGGCAGCAGAAGGAGCGGUGGAUCUGACCUUGUGUGACUCCUCUUGGUGCCUCAUUUCUCUCUUUUUCUUCACUGCAGAACUGACCUAUUUUUGGUCCCACAACUUCCUCUGGAGGGGUGCAGUGCUGCAAGCCUAAACCCAGCUCUGUACGCAGCAAAUAAUUCUUAAGCACCAACUUUAGUCUUUGCUAUCAGCAAGCCUACCAUUUUACAGAGCGCUUACAUCACUCAGGAAAUCUAUGGUAGGUUUAGGAUUGUUGCAAAAGUAUCAAAUUCUCACAUUUCAAUCUGAAUACAAAGAGACUCAGUGGAUUGCACUGGAUUGCAUAGCAAGCACAGUUUGCGGUUUGUUUAUAUAUAUAAACAUCUUUUUUAAAACUUAAAUUACCUCUGGAACUGGAGGAUUCUGAGAGGAGAUAAGAGCUCAGCCGACUUGAGUGGCUCCUUUUUAAAUUAUGUAAUUGAUUUGGGUGAAGAUAGUAUGAUAUUUCCCAUUGAACUGUAUUUAAGUAUUAAUGGAUUUUUCCUAUGAAAUCUCUAUCUUUCUUCUUUGGCCACCUUACUUGUUUGAUAGUAUAGUCCUUUCCAUGGUAACAGAUUGUGAUGUCAUGCAUGACCAGAGUAUUAGGUCAAAAAGUACCCAAGUUAGAUUUGAAGGAAGAAGUAGGAAAGGUGCUAAACUGCAUAAGCACUUUUCAAAUUUAGAAUUCAAAAGAAGUUGAAAACAGACUCAGAGUAAUUGCAAUGAUUUUUUUAACUUACCUUGUCAGUAAGCUUUACAGUUGUGUUAACCACUAUUAUUAUUAUUAUUGUUAUUAUAUCAGAAAUAAUAGGAAACAUUAGCAAAGACCAUAGCACAGCCAAAAAAAAAAGCUCUAUAUAAUAUCAAUUCCAUUUUAUCAUAACCUAUGUAGAAAUUUUUUUAAAAAUUGACUUUAUCAACAGUGAAACUUGAACUAAUGAGAGUAAUGGAUAUACACAUGAAAAACAUAGAUGUGGAUUUGGUGUUUUUCCCCAUUGUAGGGUUCCAGGCACUCAGACCCAAGAUUUCAGUUCAGCUUUAUUUAGAGAAUGAUUUUAUCCACAUAUGGUUUUAAACAAUCCCAAUAAUAUAUUUACAUGCAAGGUUUUUACUCCAGUCCAUGAACAUAUUAAAUGCCUUUAGAUGCUGUCUGUAAAAGUUCUCAACACAUUCAUUUUUCCUGCAGGCUAAGAUUUUCAUACAUGUCUAUUCUCUUACCAUUUGAUAAAAUUUACUAAGUUACAAGGGAUCAUUGCUUUUAAUGUUCCCUACAGUUGAUCUGAUUCCUCCAAGGGUACACUUCUCUGAAAUCUACUUCCUGAUCCAGGGCAACUUGGCUCAAGGUAAACAUGGUCAUUUAAACAAAACAAUCUUGUUUUUGCAAGUCUGGAUAAAACCCACCAAAUAUUGUGUGGGGAGAAACAGUGCCAUAGACUUUUCCAACAACCACAGAUUUGUUAAAAGCCAGGUCAGAUGUUUCUAUUGCAACACUGAAACUUGAAAGUUGCAGAUACCAUUCCAUACAUCAAAUUAUCGCUCCAUAAAAUGGGAAUAACCCCACAUUUUUAUAUAUAUAAUACCUACACUCAUUCAUGAUGCAGGGUAGACUGAGAGAAAAUAAUCACAUGGGAAGGUAGAGACUGGGAAUAAAAUAAUUUUAUAUUUACUAGUUUCCUUGUGUUUUCCUCUGGACAUCUGCUAUUGACUCCUCUUUGGGAAAGAAUAUUGAACUAGAUGAAGCUCUGGUCUGCCUGAGGAUGUAAACUCUUGUGUUUACCUUGCUGUAGUAAAUGCUGCAAAGCCUGAAAUCAAAGGGGAAGUAUUAUGGCUUGAUUGUACUUUCAUAAUAAAGUCCAUCCUUGUUAAAUAAAGAGAUCACCAAGUUCGAAUGAAUUUGAAUUUAAACUGUGUCUAUAAACAUAACAUUGUUUACAUCUUUCAUUUAUGAUGGUAUUUCAACUAAGUUGUUCUGAAAUUGCUCUGCUUUUGCACUAUGUCAUAAAAUAGAAGCAUAUAUUACAUUAAGCAGUAAGGAGCUGUAUCUCAUUUAAAACACAUAACCACAUAAUUUCAUAGAUAUAUAUCUAUAUAUAGAUAUAUAUCUAUGAACAAUGAAAUUGCCCCAAAAUUAAAACCCUCUUGGCAGUGUAUUUGUAAACACAAUCAGCCUAUAAUCCAAUAAAGAGACUCUGCUUUGAAUUAAUGUGAAUUGUUUUUCUAUUCUGCCUUUACAAAUAUAACUUUUCAUCUGAACUUCUUCACUCCCUC